CAAGGGGAUUUCAAAAUAAUUUGUAAAACCGUAAACAAAAUUAUAGAAAAUGGUAAAUAUUUAUGGCGUGCCGUGGCGUUACCGAUUUCAUUGUUUUUAAUUUUUGCGAACUAUGUUUUCUAUCAAAAAUAUUAUUCUCACAGAAAAUAACAUGAGAUCGAUUUUUUACUUUUAGUAUACAGUCAUUGACAUAGUUUUCAAAACUAUAAAAUAAAAAAAUAUGGUUUUUUAAAAUUACGUUACAAAGAUUUCAUUAUUUAAAAUUUUAGAUUCUUUAGAUAGAAACGAGGAAUAUAUUGCUUUUUCAAUGAUGUUUAUUAUUUUUAUUAUUAUUUUAUUUUUUUAUAUUGUGUACACAAAUCUUGCUCCGAUGUAUCAGGUGUAGUAUCUUUUCUGAAAGGAAAUUUUAUCUAGUUGUUACUUAAAGA